rnacentral:lncRNA from 1 species
CUUAGCAGUCAGCUCCUCACCAUUUUCCUUCUUAUUAGGGAUUGCUCCCUUAAUAGCAUUUAAGAUCGCGGCCUUCAAGACCAUCAAUGCUAUUUUGUUGCUCUUUUUCCACUUCUCAAAAUUUGAGUUGUAGGUCCUUAGCUCCUCAUUUGAUGGAUUUGGAAUAAGAGCAGUAGGCUUAUUCUCACGUAGUGCGCUAUCAUAGUUCGAAAACUAAGCACAACUUGCACCUUAUCCUUCCAUAUAAGAUAGUUGGUGCCAUUGAGAGGAUUGAUGUUAUUGAUGAGGCCCGCAACAUUGCUUACUGGAAAAAUCACAUCAAAAUGUCUCAGAUAAUACUAUACAGAAAAGAUGUAACUUGAAAGCAUGAAAUUAAAUCAACAUUGGUUGGAAAUAAAAACAUGCUUAGAACCUCAAUUUGCAUCACCAUUGGGCAGAAAACAAAAGGAAAUUCAUCUUAAAUAACUCAUAAUUAAAUCAAUGUUGGUCAGAAUUAAUUAUGAGCUUAAAUUUCCAAUUAAAUUUCUCGUUGGUUCCAUUUAAUUAAAGACCAUCUUAAAAGUACAGGGUGGAUCUUAAAUAAUUUUCCAUAAACAAAUUCAUAUAAAACAUAAAUUCAUAACUAAAUUAAAUUAAUCGUAAAAUUACUUAACAAAUGAGCUGAUGAGAAUAAAAAAAGGAAAAUAAAUUCUAGAAAAAGAAAAACUAAAUUUUGGCUUUGCCAAGAUUUGGCCGAGCAGCGGCCCACUGCGCGUGGCCUGCUUGGCCUCUGCGGCCUCUCGGCCCAGAUGGCUCCUGAAGGCCCAAAUAACAGCGCAACAAGGAAACCCUAACUCAGUCUCAUCUCAACCAUCCAAUGAAAUCGACGGUCGCUAAAUUUUUAUCCUCAGUCUCACUUUCCUUUCCCCUUUCUCAGCCGCCA